CACGUAGGUGGCAAGCGUUGUCCGGAAUUACUGGGCGUAAAGAGCGCGCAGGCGGCUGGUCAAGUCCGAUGUGAAAGCUCCCGGCUUAACUGGGAAAUUGCAUCGGAAACUGAUCGGCUUGAAGGUGGGAGAGGGUAGUGGAAUUCCCGGUGUAGUGGUGAAAUGCGUAGAUAUCGGGAGGAACACCAGUGGCGAAGGCGACUACCUGGCCCACUCUUGACGCUGAGGCGCGAAAGCUAGGGGAGCGAACGGG
rnacentral:rRNA from 1 species